AGUAAUUUUCCUGGGGAGUAUUUGUCUUGAAAACAAAUUUUUAGUGUUCGAUUCACUGAGUUACUU
rnacentral:tRNA from 1 species